rnacentral:rRNA from 1 species
UACGGAGGGUGCAAGCGUUAUCCGGAUUCACUGGGUUUAAAGGGUGCGUAGGCGGGCAGGUAAGUCAGUGGUGAAAUCUCCGGGCUUAACCCGGAACUGCCGUUGAUACUAUCUGUCUUGAAUAUCGUGGAGGUAAGCGGAAUAUGUCAAUGUAGCGGUGAAAUGCUUAGAUAUGACAUAGAACACCCAUUGCGAAAGGCAGCUUACUACACGAUCAUUGACGCUGAGCACGAAAGCGUGGGGAGCAAACAGG